UACGGAGGGUGCAAGCGUUAAUCGGAAUUACUGGGCGUAAAGCGCGCGUAGGCGGCUUGUUAAGCGGAAUGUGAAAUCCCCGGGCUCAACCUGGGCACUGCAUUCCGAACUGGCUGGCUAGAGUGUGGUAGAGGAAGGUGGAAUUCCAGGUGUAGCGGUGAAAUGCGUAGAUAUCUGGAGGAACAUCAGUGGCGAAGGCGGCCUUCUGGACCAACACUGACGCUGAGGUGCGAAAGCGUGGGGAGCAAACAGG
rnacentral:rRNA from 1 species